rnacentral:tRNA from 1 species
GGAAUGGUCAGAUAAAUGGUCAAUUAUUUAGGGUUAACCCUAAAGCAGUGUAGGUUCGAGUCCUACCCAUUGCA